AAACCAACUGGGAUUACCUUAGUAACGGCGAGUGAAGCGGUAAAAGCUCAAAUUUGAAAUCUGGUACUUUCAGUGCCCGAGUUGUAAUUUGUAGAAUUUGUCUUUGAUUAGGUCCUUGUCUAUGUUCCUUGGAACAGGACGUCAUAGAGGGUGAGAAUCCCGUUUGGCGAGGAUACCUUUUCUCUGUAAGACUUUUUCGAAGAGUCAAGUUGUUUGGGAAUGCAGCUCAAAGUGGGUGGUAAAUUCCAUCUAAAGCUAAAUAUUGGCGAGAGACCGAUAGCGAACAAGUACAGUGAUGGAAAGAUGAAAAGAACUUUGAAAAGAGAGUGAAAAAGUACGUGAAAUUGUUGAAAGGGAAGGGCAUUUGAUCAGACAUGGUGUUUUUUAAAUGUGCAAGUCUCUCGUGGACAUGUGCCUCUGGAAAUUAACACUGGGCCAACAUCAGUUCUGGCGGCAGGAUAAAUCAUUAAGAAUGUAGCUACCUCGGUAGUGUUAUAGCUUUUUGGAAUACUGCC
rnacentral:rRNA from 1 species